AUGAACAGUAACAGUCUCAGGAAUACAGUCUCUAUCUAGUGCAAUGACUGACAGUUGUUGCGGACCUUGACUUCUCAUAAAAUCUCUAAAUUAGGGAAAAUUGCGAAGAUCCGUCCGGAUUUAGGGGAUAGAUAAGGUACGGUGAUCUUGCAGAGUGUUUAGGGAUUGACACACUCACAAUUUAGCAGAUAUCAGCCGUCGCCGCAAGGCUCAGGCCUAAACUCACUGAUGACAGCAGCGCAGAUCCUUCUCCAUCAACAACCCAUGAGGAAAGAGAGUGAGCAAUGGCCGCCGCUCCCUUAUAUGGGCAGGGGCAGGGCCGUUUUUACUGGUCCAAUCAACUGUCACUCACCGUUACAAGGAGUGAUGGGAGAUAAAUGUCACAGGGCCCUCCAAAGGUCCUUAAGCAUAAAACCAUAGAGUUUACCUGAUCACGUGACCCGCAGGUCCUGUUACGCUAUGCAUAGGUCAUCAAAACAUUCUCACAUGGACAACUCACCUUGGCCUCAAAGAAGCUCUUGGCCCCCUUUACGCCCUCUGUUGACACAUCAAUUUCAGAGAGUUUAGCUAGAGACAUCAGUCCGCUGUCCUCCUCCAGCUCGCCCGCCGCUGCCUUGCGGAAUAUCAGUAAAAACUAGGAAAGGAAAGACGGCAACAGAAGCCACGACACACUGGCACGUUUGCAGGUUCCAGGACCUGUCUGACUGGAUCUUUAGCCCAGCCCUGCAGUUAAUCACAGCCAUGAAAAUUAAAUGAGGCCUGACAUUUAUUAAGAGGAAGUUGUGGUGAUCUAAACUGGAGUUACAUCUAAAACAUGAGCCUUGGCCAAGACCGUACUCCUGCCAGGGGAGGAAAUGACAGUAUUAAUAAAACAGCCUCGCUGAAAAUGAGAUCUCGUUUGCUGGCUGCAACUAAUCUAGAGAAAGUCACGUCUGUAAACAGUGGGUCCCAUAGAAUAUGCUGCUCCACAAUGUAGGCUACGGAGAGAAAUAUAUAUUGGAUAUAGUGAC